ACGAACAUAGUGAUAGCUGGUUACUCAGGAAAAGAAUUUUAGUUCCACCUAAAGAGCCCAAAGUACUAAAAACAUAAAUUUGUCUUUAGAGCAAUUCAAUCAAGGAACAGCUUGCUUGAACCAGGACACAACCUUGACCAUAGGAUAAUGAUUUCCCCCCAAACAACUAAGUGGGCCUAAAAGCAGCCAUCUAACAAAAGCGUUAAAGCUUCACUGUUUUUCAAAGAAUACCUUAUAUUUCACAGACUCCUUCAACAGUACUGAGUACAUCUAUAUUGAUAGAAAAUUUUAUGUUAAAACUAGUAGCAAGAAGUCAACCUUCUCCUCAAUGCAAGUAUAUUCCAGUAAGGACCCCCCACUGGAAAUUAACACCCCCCCCCCCAAGUAGUAACUUACAAGAAAAAUCUCCUUAAUAACCUGUUAACCUAACACAAGAGCAUCCAAGGAAAGAUUAAAAGAAAAAGAAGGAACUCAAACUUAUGCCCCGCCUGUUUACCAAAAACAUCGCCUCUUGAAUCACAUGAGAGGUCUGCGAAGGUAGCGUAAUCACUUGUUCUUUAAAUAAGGACUAGUAUGAAAGGCAUCACGAGGGUCAAACUGUCUCCUUUUUCUAAUCCGCGAAACUAAUCUUCCCGUGAAGAAGCGGGAAUAUUUUUAUAAGACGAGAAGACCCUAUGGAGCUUUAAAUUGAACGCCACCUUCAUUCUUCUCUUAAAUUCCGAAACCCCCUAUAACUAUAAUGAACCCUGGCUAUAAAUUUUAGGUUGGGGCGACCGCGGAGAAAAACCAAUCCUCCACAUUGUUAAAGAACCAUCUUAAACAAAGAGCAACAACUUUAUGUAUCAAUAAAAUUGACAUCUAUUGACCCAUUAUUUGAUCAACGAACCAAGUUACCCUAGGGAUAACAGCGCCAUCCACUUUAAGAGCUCCUAUCGACAAGUGGGCUUACGACCUCGAUGUUGGAUCAGGGUGUCCAAGUGGUGCAGCCGCUACUUAAGGUUCGUUGUCAACGAUAA
rnacentral:rRNA from 1 species